rnacentral:rRNA from 1 species
GCUUACGGCCAUACCAGCCUGGCGCUUCGGAAGCUAAGCAGGGUCGGGCCUGGUUAGUACUUGGAUGGGAGACCGCCUGGGAAUACCAGGUGCUGUAAGCA